GUAGUCUGCAACUCGACUACAUGAAGCUGGAAUCGCUAGUAAUCGCGAAUCAGCAUGUCGCGGUGAAUACGUUCCCGGGUCUUGUACACACCGCCCGUCAAGCCAUGGAAGCCGGGAGUGCCUGAAGUGCGUGAGCGCAAGCAGCGCCCUAAGGUAAAACCGGUGACUGGGGCUAAGUCGUAACAAGGUACC
rnacentral:rRNA from 1 species